UGGGAGACAGGUGGUGCAUGGCUGUCGUCAGCUCGUGUCGUGAGAUGUUGGGUUAAGUCCCGCAACGAGCGCAACCCUCGCCCUUAGUUGCCAGCAUUAAGUUGGGCACUCUAAGGGGACUGCCGGUGAUAAGCCGAGAGGAAGGUGGGGAGGACGUCAAUUCUUCAUGGCCCUUACGGGUUGGGUUACACACGUGUUCCAAUGGUGGUGACAAGGGGCACAGAGCCGGGGGGUGGAAGUAAUUUUCCAAAACCCAUCUCAGUUCGG
rnacentral:rRNA from 1 species